CCUCUAAUAAAGUAUUUAAGUGAUGACGUGACAUUUAAAAAAAAUAAAAUUAAUUAAAUGUGACGCUUCGUUAGAGGUAAUUAUUGAAUCCAGGCCCUCAGGUGGGACUGUCUUUAUAGAUAGUUACAUUUCCAAUUACCUGGUUGACCACCCUCUAGCUGCAGUAGUUUUUUAUAUGUGGCUUACUUUUCUUUUUAACAUUUAAAUCCUUCCCAUUCUUCAGAAAGAUUUUUUUUUUUACUUUUUGCAUUGAAAAAUGUUAACUUUAAAAUUGCACCACUAUAUCGUUUAAUAACCUACCGAACCAGAAACAAUCCUACAUUAGAGAUAAAGUGGUAGGUUUUCAAUAAUACAAUAUGGGUCUUGUUAGAAGAAAAUAAAAAUUAACUAUCAAUUACUGCUAAU